rnacentral:rRNA from 1 species
UAAGGAAUAUUGGACAAUGGACGCAAGUCUGAUCCAGCCAUGCCGCGUGAAGGAUGAAUGCCCUCUGGGUUGUAAACUUCUUUUAUAGGGGAAGAAAGAUACUUUUUUUAAGGUAGUUGACGGUACCCUAUGAAUAAGCACCGGCUAACUCCGUGCCAGCAGCCGCGGUAAUACGGAGGGUGCAAGCGUUAUCCGGAUUUACUGGGUUUAAAGGGUGCGUAGGCGGGCAUGUAAGUCAGUGGUGAAAUACCGGAGCUUAACUUCGGAACUGCCAUUGAUACUAUAUGCCUUGAAUAUUGUGGAGGAAAGAGGAAUAUGUCAUAUAGCGGUGAAAGGCAUAGUUAAGACAUAGAACACCGAUUGCGGAGGCAGCCUGCUACGCAAAUAUUGACGCUGAGGCACGAAAGCGUGGGGAUCAAACA